GUAUCUUGUAAUCUUUUACCUUCACCAGAUUUCAGAAUCCAGACCUACAAAAGAUGUAUGAUGUUGAAAUCUGAAUGUAUGCAAGGUUGAAUAGGAGAAAUUCUACUUGAUUUUUCAUUCUGUAGCUUCCUGUUAUACCAUUCUUCACACUGUUUAUGAGAAAUUGGUUGUCAAUGGUUGAGCCUAGCUAGUCUAAUACCAUCUACUUUGCAACAACUCUUACUUCCAAUUAGGGUAGAUGAAAUAAUAGUGUCAUAAGAUUCAUCCAUUGACAAGGUCCACAAGCACAUGUUUCUAUGGGUUUGUCCAUUGAUGAAGAGCUCCUUGAAAUGAAGCAGACAGUGAUGACCAUGUUUGAAUUCUGAGACAGUCUUAGCAGAGCAAUUGCGUGGAGUUGACUGAGCCUUCCGACUGUUCUUCUAUGAGGGGGAUAAGAUGCCUCAGUUAAGAAUUCUCUGACGUCUUAUUCCCAAUGCAUUAAUUAUAUUAACUGUUAACUUUCGAUCUAAAUAAGUAAAUUAAAUCUGUUCUAUUCAAUCCUGAUGGCUGCUUCACCUGCGUAGCUCGACUUGACUCCCACCUGUUCGGACGACCACAUGUUCUUAGUCCACCCUCAUGCGUUCGUUGACUUCCACGAUGAACAGCCAACCGUUGCGACACAAGCAACGAACAACCGCUACAAACCAGCACGAAAGCUUCACCCUUUUGGUGAUGGCAUGAAGAUAAUGUCGGUUCCUAAUAAAGUUGACUUUCUAGGAAGGAAUACGAUAUGAUUCAUGCGUUGCUGUUGCGGUAAAUAUAUAGGUUGUGG
rnacentral:lncRNA from 1 species